UCGGUGUCCUCAUCUGUGAGAACCGACCUAAGAAGUGUCUGUCUGAUAAAGCUGUUGUGAUGAGUUAGUGAAUUCGUACACAUAGAACCUUUAGAACUGUCUUUGACAUGUAGUAAGUCAGCUGUGUAGAUGGUGGGUUUCUCCAGUGUCAGGUCCCUGCCCACAGCAGGAAGAUGACCUGUGCUAGAAGAUGGGGGCUAGGGUGUUGGGGAAGACUUCAGGGACUUGGGAGAGAAAAGGAGAAAUAUUCAGAGAUGAGAAAAGUAGAAGAAAAACCAGCUUUUAAAAGGGGGAGGAGAGAGAAUGAGAAAAAUAACUACUAGAAAGGGAAGGAAAAGAUGAAUAGCCUUUUAGGUACUUCGGGACCUGCUCUGAGACCUCUUGCCUGACGCCCUUGGUUUUUGAUAGAAUUCUAGAGAAGGGGUGAGCCCUUUUGUCUGCCUGGACACAUCCUGUGGGCUUUCCUCUUUCUGAAACUCAGGUCAAGGUGUUCACUGCAUCUCCAGAUUGCUUGUGUGCAUGGGAGGAGGGGGGCAGAGAGUUCUGCUUACAUCGGCUACUGUCCCCUCCACCAGCAGCGUCUUCCAGCAAAGAAGAGCUUCUAACAUGCACCAGACUUUUAGCUUUGGCUGGGAAUAUCGUCUGGGCCAAUAAAGAGUUUUUGGAUGAAAUAACAAAA
rnacentral:lncRNA from 1 species